GCGAGAGUGGCGGAAUUGGUAGACGCACUGGAUUUAGGUUCCAGCGGGUUGAUCCCCGUGGGGGUUCGAGUCCCCCCUCUCGUA
rnacentral:tRNA from 1 species